rnacentral:rRNA from 1 species
UGGGAAUUUUGGACAAUUGGGCGAAGCUGAUCCAGCAAUGCCGCGUGUGUGAAGAAGGCCUUCGGGUUGUAAAGCACUUUUUGUCCGGAAAGAAAUCCUUGGCUCUAAUACAGUCGGGGGAUACGGUACCGGAAGAAUAAGCACCGGCUAACUACGUGCCAGCAGCCGCGGUAAUACGUAGGGUGCAAGCGUUAAUCGGAAUUACUGGGCGUAAAGCGUGCGCAGGCGGUUUGCUAAGACCGAUGUGAAAUCCCCGGGCUCAACCUGGGAACUGCAUUGGUGACUGCAGGCUAGAGUAUGGCAGAGGGGGGUAGAAUUCCACGUGUAGCAGUGAAAUGCGUAGAGAUGUGGAGGAAUACCGAUGGCGAAGGCAGCCCCCUGGGCAAGUCACUGACGCUCAUGCACGAAAGCGUGGGGAGC